CAGUUUAUCAGUGAUAAUUAUGGGUUCUAGCUAGAUCCUCUCUGGCUUUGUGCUUAACAGAUCUCAUAAGAUAAGCAGGUAUGGGACAGAGUUCGGAGAAAAGCAACAUAAAUGAUCAAUUAAGCAGCUGGAGAGAUUAAUUGAAGAGAGGAAGACCAUUAGAAGACUCCAGACCCCAAAAUAUACAAGGAAAAAAACCACAUCUAUUUAGGAAUUGUACCAACUGUAAUAAUAUGAUCCUUUAUCUUCAAAUACAUGUAUACAUCUCCACACACU